AUUGAACGCUGGCGGCAUGCUUUACACAUGCAAGUCGAACGGCCGCACGGGCUUCUUCCUGGUAGCGCGUGGCGAACGGGUGAGUAAUAUACCGGAACGUACCCUGAUGUGGGGGAUAACGUAGCGAAAGUUACGCUAAUAUCACAGACGAUCUUUGGAUGAAAUCCGUGGACCGCAAGGCCUUGUGCGUCUGGAUCGACCGAUAUCUGAUUAGCUAGUUGGUGUGGUAAAGGCUCACCAAGGCGACGAUCAGUAGCUGGUCUGAGAGGACGACCAGCCACACUGGAACUGAGACACGGUCCAGACUCCUACGGGAGGCAGCAGUGGGGAAUUUUGGACAAUGGGCGCAAGCCUGAUCCAGCAAUGCCGCGUGAGUGAAGAAGGCCUUCGGGUUGUAAAGCUCUUUUGUCAGGGAAGAAACGGUAGAGGCUAAUAUGCUCUGCUCAUGACGGUACCUGAAGAAUAAGCACCGGCUAACUACGUG
rnacentral:rRNA from 1 species